GAUGAACGCUGGCGGCAGGCUUAACACAUGCAAGUCGAACGAGAUCUUCGGAUCUAGUGGCAGACGGGUGAGGAACACGUGGGAACAUCCCUUUCAGUUCGGAAUAACGUUGGGAAACUAACGCUAAUACCGGAUACGUCCUUCGGGAGAAAGAUUUAUCGCUGAAAGAUUGGCCCGCGUCUGAUUAGUUAGUUGGUGAGGUAAUGGCUCACCAAGGCUACGAUCAGUAGCUGAUCUGAGAGGAUGAUCAGCCACAUUGGGACUGAGACACGGCCCAAACUCCUACGGGAGGCAGCAGUGGGGAAUAUUGGACAAUGGGCGCAAGCCUGAUCCAGCCAUGCCGCGUGAGUGAUGACGGCCUUCGGGUUGUAAAGCUCUUUUGUCCGGGAAGAUAAUGACUGUACCGGAAGAAUAAGCCCCGGCAAACUUCGUGCCAGCCGCCGCAGUAA
rnacentral:rRNA from 1 species